AGCUUUGUGCAGUGGCAGUAUCGUAACCAAUGAGGUUUAUCCGAGGUGCGAUUAUUGCUAGUUGAAAACUAUUACCAAUACUCCGCCUCUGUAACGCGAACGCGUUGCCUGUGGCAAUUUCUGGAGGGUUCUGCGGAAC